UACGAAGGGGGCUAGCGUUGUUCGGAAUUACUGGGCGUAAAGCGCGCGCAGGUGGUCUUUCAAGUCAGUGGUGAAAGCCCGGAGCUCAACUCCAGAACUGCCUUCGAUACUGAGAGUCUCGAGUCCGAGAGAGGUGAGUGGAACUGCGAGUGUAGAGGUGAAAUUCGUGAGAUAUUCGCAAGAACACCAGUGGCGAAGGCGGCUCACUGGCUCGGUACUGACGCUGAGGUGCGAAAGCGUGGGGAGCAAACAGG
rnacentral:rRNA from 1 species